AGGAUGAACGCUAGCUACAGGCUUAACACAUGCAAGUCGAGGGGCAGCAUUUUAGUUUGCUUGCAAACUGAAGAUGGCGACCGGCGCACGGGUGAGCAACACGUAUCCAACCUGCCGAUAACUCCGGGAUAGCCUUUCGAAAGAAAGAUUAAUACCGGAUAGUAUACGAAUAUCGCAUGAUAUUUUUAUUAAAGAAUUUCGGUUAUCGAUGGGGAUGCGUUCCAUUAGUUUGUUGGCGGGGUAACGGCCCACCAAGACUACGAUGGAUAGGGGUUCUGAGAGGAAGGUCCCCCACAUUGGAACUGAGACACGGUCCAAACUCCUACGGGAGGCAGCAGUGAGGAAUAUUGGUCAAUGGGCGCGAGCCUGAACCAGCCAAGUAGCGUGAAGGAUGAAGGCUCUAUGGGUUGUAAACUUCUUUUAUAUGGGAAUAAAGUUUUCCACGUGUGGAAUUUUGUAUGUACCAUAUGAAUAAGGAUCGGCUAACUCCGUGCCAGCAGCCGCGGUAAUACGGAGGAUCCGAGCGUUAUCCGGAUUUAUUGGGUUUAAAGGGAGCGUAGGUGGAUUGUUAAGUCAGUUGUGAAAGUUUGCGGCUCAACCGUAAAAUUGCAGUUGAAACUGGCAGUCUUGAGUACAGUAGAGGUGGGCGGAAUUCGUGGUGUAGCGGUGAAAUGCUUAGAUAUCACGAAGAACUCCGAUUGCGAAGGCAGCUCACUAGACUGUCACUGACACUGAUGCUCGAAAGUGUGGGGUAUCAAACAGGAUUAGAUACCCUGGUAGUCCACACAGUAAACGAUGAAUACUCGCUGUUUGCGAUAUACAGUAAGCGGCCAAGCGAAAGCAUUAAGUAUUCCACCUGGGGAGUACGCCGGCAACGGUGAAACUCAAAGGAAUUGACGGGGGCCCGCACAAGCGGAGGAACAUGUGGUUUAAUUCGAUGAUACGCGAGGAACCUUACCCGGGCUUAAAUUGCAACAGAAUAUAUUGGAAACAGUAUAGCCGUAAGGCUGUUGUGAAGGUGCUGCAUGGUUGUCGUCAGCUCGUGCCGUGAGGUGUCGGCUUAAGUGCCAUAACGAGCGCAACCCUUAUCUUUAGUUACUAACAGGUGAUGCUGAGGACUCUAGAGAGACUGCCGUCGUAAGAUGUGAGGAAGGUGGGGAUGACGUCAAAUCAGCACGGCCCUUACGUCCGGGGCUACACACGUGUUACAAUGGGGGGUACAGAAGGCGGCUACCUGGUGACAGGAUGCUAAUCCCAAAAACCUCUCUCAGUUCGGAUCGAAGUCUGCAACCCGACUUCGUGAAGCUGGAUUCGCUAGUAAUCGCGCAUCAGCCAUGGCGCGGUGAAUACGUUCCCGGGCCUUGUACACACCGCCCGUCAAGCCAUGAAAGCCGGGGGUACCUGAAGUACGUAACCGCAAGGAGCGUCCUAGGGUAAAACUGGUAAUUGGGGCU
rnacentral:rRNA from 1 species